rnacentral:rRNA from 1 species
UACGUCGGGUGCGAGCGUUAAUCGGAAUUACUGGGCGUAAAGCGUGCGCAGGCGGUUCGUGAUGUCUGAUGUGAAAGCCCCGGGCUCAACCUGGGAAUUGCAUUGGAAACUAGCGGGCUGGAGUGUGGCAGAGGGGGGUGGAAUUCCACGUGUAGCAGUGAAAUGCGUAGAGAUGUGGAGGAACACCGAUGGCGAAGGCAGCCCCCUGGGCUAACACUGACGCUCAUGCACGAAAGCGUGGGGAGCAAACAGG